UGCGUAGGCGGGCAAUUAAGUCAGAGGUGAAAUCCCACAGCUCAACUGUGGAACUGCCUUUGAUACUGGUUGUCUUGAGUUAUAUUGAAGUGAGUAGAAUAUGUAGUGUAGCGGUGAAAUGCUUAGAUAUUACAUAGAAUACCGAUUGCGAAGGCAGCUCACUAAGUAUAUACUGACGCUGAUGGACGAAAGCGUGGGGAGCGAACAGGAUUAGAUACCCUGGUAGUCC
rnacentral:rRNA from 1 species